AUAACUGCAAUAGCGCAAGACUUAACUGUAUGAGCUAUACUGAUGGAUGUGGCUAGUGUUCGAAGAAUUUUAGUCCCGGUGAAUAUUCUUCUAAAUUUCAGUCGGCUUAGCGCGGUCGCUAUAGUCGUGUGUUACAUCUGUUGUUAAGGGCAAGUACGCGCAGGUGUUCGGUAGUUUCUUGGAACCUACGGGUGUCGUACUGCAUUUGAGUGCCAGACAUUUCAAGAGCGAAGAAAUACGAUUUCGUAAGUGCUACACAAAGUGAUACGUGGUUGAACAGUGUUGCAUCCCGGCGAGAAAAGCUCAUUGGCCCUUACAGACGCAACAAAUGGCCCUGGUCCCCGUGGUCGUUUGAACUCCUCACUGAUCCUGCUGCGCAUUACUUAAAGUACGUAUAACAACGUUGUAUUGAAAUUAAAGGGAAAGCGAGCUAGCGCUGGGGAUAUACACGGGCGGAUCUGGCGGCCGCAGCGUGAAGCAGGCUUCAAGGAUGCAUAUUGAUUGAGAGGCGUUAGAAGAACGGAU